AUUCUUCUGUAGUUCACGAGCAUGACGAUUGGGUUUUCAUGACAUGUGUGAGAUGUUCCACCCCCUGAACCUUGUGCCCACAUUGGCACAUUACCCAUCUAACC
ensembl:snoRNA